CCCUGCUAACACUCUGCUGGUGAAAGGCCUCCCCGGAAGAGGCUAAGGUUAUGGGCACAGACAGGUGAGGAAUAUUCUCUUCUGAGUGACCACCUAGGACCACACUUUAGUCCCGCCCGCAGUUCUGGCGAGGAGUCCUAUGAAACACUGAAGACUCAGUCAGAGCUGAGGUAGAGAGUCCAGAGGACUGCUCCCUUCCAAGCCGCCAUGGCUCAUGGUCAGUGUUCACUUCUCCCCAUCAGAGCCAGCUGAGAUGGGAUGUCCCUGAUGCCUGCCCCACCAUUAUGGACCCCCUCCCUGUGGCCCCUAAGCCCAAAUAAACUCUUUCUUCUAUAA
rnacentral:lncRNA from 1 species